rnacentral:rRNA from 1 species
GCGAACGCUGGCGGCAGGCCUAACCCCUGCCAGUCGAACGAACCUUUCGGGGUUAGUGGCGGACGGGUGAGUAACACGUGGGAACGUGCCUUUAGGUUCGGAAUAACUCAGGGAAACUUGUGCUAAUACCGAAUGUGCCCUUCGGGGGAAAGAUUUAUCGCCUUUAGAGCGGCCCGCGUCUGAUUAGCUAGUUGGUUGAGGUAAUGGCUCACCAAGGCGACGAUCAGUAGCUGGUCUGAGAGGAUGAUCAGCCACAUUGGGACUGAGACACGGCCCAAACUCCUACGGGAGGCAGCAGUGGGGAAUCUUGCGCAAUGGGCGAAAGCCUGACGCAGCCAUGCCGCGUGAAUGAUGAAGGUCUUAGGAUUGUAAAAUUCUUUCACCGGGGACGAUAAUGACGGUACCCGGAGAAGAAGCCCCGGCUAACUUCGUG